rnacentral:rRNA from 1 species
GACGAACGCUGGCGGCGUGCCUAAUACAUGCAAGUCGAGCGGAUGACGGAGGAGCUUGCUCCUCCUGAUUCAGCGGCGGACGGGUGAGUAACACGUGGGCAACCUGCCCUGUAGAUUGGGAUAACUCCGGGAAACCGGGGCUAAUACCGAAUAAUCCUUCGGACCUCAUGGUCCGAUGUUGAAAGACGGUUUCGGCUGUCACUACAGGAUGGGCCCGCGGCGCAUUAGCUAGUUGGUGAGGUAACGGCUCACCAAGGCCACGAUGCGUAGCCGACCGGAGGGGGUGAUCGGCCACACUGGGACUGAGACACGGCCCAGACUCCUACGGGAGGCAGCAGUAGGAAAUCUUCCACAAUGGACGAAAGUCUGAUGGAGCAACGCCGCGUGAGUGAAGAAGGUUCUCGGAUCGUAAAACUCUGUUGUGAGGGAAGAACAAGUACCGGAGUAACUGCCGGUGCCUUGACGGUACCUCAUUAGAAAGCCACGGCUAACUACGUGCCAGCCGCCGCGGUAA